CCUACGGGGGGCAGCAGUGGGGAAUAUUGGACAAUGGGGGGAACCCUGAUCCAGCCAUGCCGCGUGUGUGAAGAAGGCCCUCGGGUUGUAAAGCACUUUCAGUGAGGAAGAACGCCUGGUGGUUAAUACCCAUCAGGAAAGACAUCACUCACAGAAGAAGCACCGGCUAACUCCGUGCCAGCAGCCGCGGUAAUACGGAGGGUGCGAGCGUUAAUCGGAAUUACUGGGCGUAAAGCGCGCGUAGGUGGCUUGAUAAGCCGGUUGUGAAAGCCCCGGGCUCAACCUGGGAACGGCAUCCGGAACUGUCAAGCUAGAGUGCAGGAGAGGAAGGUAGAAUUCCCGGUGUAGCGGUGAAAUGCGUAGAGAUCGGGAGGAAUACCAGUGGCGAAGGCGGCCUUCUGGGCUGACACUGACACUGAGGUGCGAAAGCGUGGGUAGCAAACAGGAUUAGAUACCCGUGUAGUC
rnacentral:rRNA from 1 species